CUAAAUGUAGCCCAAGUGUGAAAUGUUUGAACAAGUUCAGUGUUACUUCUGGGAAAAGACUUUAGCUUAUGUUAAAACAAGUUGCAGUUCAUUGAAUGCUAUGAAAGGGUUAAUAUCUUGGCGCCGCUGGUUGACUGUGAGCUGACCAAUCAGUAAGCUGAAUAGAAUAGUUGGCACGCGCUAGUUCCGUAUUCCAGUAUCCAUGUUUUCCAGCUUUCUUUGCCUCUGCACGGGUACUCUGCCUGCAUGCUGCUCGGAGAAAUAGCAAGGACCCUUUUUGUGUCAAUUGCGUGGAAAAACAUUGUAGAACGGGGUGCAUAACCAAAACACCCGCCGACCAGCUGACAUAAAAGAGAAAAGAAGUGUGAUAACUACUCAACG